GGAUACCCACAUAAAAGGAGGAGCUGCUCCAUUAUGGCCCCGAGUCAUGUGCGGAUAGCCGCGAGGCUAUACGUGAUGCAGUUGACAGGGGAAAGCGCAGGCCAGCCAUUUACCUACGAAAUCACCCCAAUCACCGGGGUCUGUUCAUAGCCUGCUCGCAACGCGAAAGAAUC
rnacentral:ncRNA from 1 species